GAGGCACAUUUUGUGGGGCAAAACUGUACCUUGGUAAGAGAGUAUGAAAUUUCCUUCAAAGCGGACAAUACCUCUGAGAAGAAGCAGUCGCUUCCGCUGUCUGAGCCCGGUGGAGACUGAGCUCUGGGGUUCGGGGGACACCUUCCAACCUCAUCAAUUGUCAUUGUUUAGAUUCCAUGUAUAAAACAAAGAGAACCAACUGAAACCCAACCUUCCCCUUUUGUCCUUAUGUACUCUAAAUUUCUCAUUCAAAUUAUAGUUUGUUAAUUAGGAAUAACCAUGCGAGACCCGCGUCUUCAUGAAAAUUUUAGGAUUGAUCUAGCUAGGUUGAUUGGAUCCUUUAUGAUUUAGAGGCCUAAAGUAUAAUCUUCUACUUUCAAGAACGAUUCUCACUUCUACAUAAUAUGUGGGAUCCCUACAUAUUGUUGAAAAGGAUGCAAACCCGAGAAUUUGAGCAGUAUUGAGUGCAAAAGAUAAGGCUUCAAACAAGCCUGGAGCAUAUCAACAUGUUCCCGUAACUUGAGAUUUAUUAGUUUGUGCCGUUCUUUUGAUUGACACAAAUUGGUCCCAUCCUCUAUAUAUGCUUCCUAAAAGCAGCAAGCAAACGAGAGGGUGCAAGUCGAGGUGUCUCUGAAAGUGGUGUAUAAAGAAAGAAAAAAGAAUGGUACAAUCUCUCCAAGCGACUCGCCCAAGUAAAGGCUGAACGGACAUGGCAGGGGUUCCACCCCAGUCAUCCUCCUGGCUGUUUGUGUUUUUGGUUUUGUUUUUGGUU
rnacentral:lncRNA from 1 species